CGAAAAAAACCAUAACGUAAAUAAACCUUCAUUUACUAAAUCGACGUAUGCUGAUCAAUGCUGUGCCUAAGUUGUGUGAUGCAAGCAAACAACCUGUAAUUUACAACAAAGGAAAACAACUAGAAGUUUAAUGCGUCAAGAAUGUAUGACAUUUUUACCCAAAGCAAGCGCAUAAAGUUGAAGUGAUUCAAAUUGUUGAGCAACAUACGCCAAGUUCAUUCGAUGCAGAAGAGGACUUAGGACCAGAAAGUGAUAACAAGAUACAACAAAUUCAUUCUAAAAGCAUAAUUUUGAAUGCAUUUAUCGUCAAAUAAAUUGUGGAAAUAAAUAUAUAGUAGUUUA